rnacentral:rRNA from 1 species
AUGGCCAAGGAUGGAGCAGGAGGCGGGCCCGACUGGAACGGCCUGCUCAAGUGGAGCCUCGCCCACGGCAGCGACGGCACCAACCCGCCCCGCGCGCUCAGCGAGGAGGACAGGAAAUGGUUUAUGGAGGCGAUGCAGGCGAACACAAUCGAUGUCGUCGGCAGGAUGAAGGAGAUAGCCCAGGUGAUGAAAACCCCCAAUGAUGUGUUGCAGUCUCAUGGCGUGACUCCAGAGAACAUUGAAGGUACCUUCUCAGAUAUGCUUGAUGAGUUACAAGAGCACGUGGAAUCCAUUGAUAUGGCAAAUGAUCUUCAUUCUAUUGGUGGACUAGAUCCUCUACUUGGUUACUUGAAAAAUUCACAUGCUGGCAUCCGAGCAAAGGCAGCAGAAGUUGUCAGUACGGUUGUCCAGAAUAACCCGAAAAGCCAGCAACUUGUCAUGGAAUCUAAUGGACUGGAGCCGCUAUUGACAAACUUCAGGUCUGAUCCUAGCACGACUGCACGCACAAAAGCUCUUGGAGCUAUCUCUUCUCUGAUUCGCAAUAACCAGUCCGGUCUUGCUGCAUUUCGUCUAGGAAAUGGACAUGCUGCACUGAAAGAUGCACUUGGUUCUGAUGAUGCUAGACUUCAGAGGAAAGCUCUGCAUCUCACACAGUACCUGCUGAACAAUAAGGCGGAUAGGAACGUCGCUGCAGAGAUUGGUCUUCCGAAUCAACUGAUACACCUCGCAUCCAGUGACGAUUCUGGAGUCCGGGAGGCUGCCCUGGGCGGCCUUCUUGAGCUGGCACGCGACAAGACACCAGCUGCCAGCAACGCUCUACCUGAUCAGGACAAGCUGAAAGACGUCCUGAAGAGCCGAAUCGAAGGCAUCAGCGCAAUGGACGCCGACGACCUCCAAGCAGCCCGUGAGGAGCGGCAACUGGUGGACUCCCUCUGGAAGGAGUGCUACGGCGAGCCGUCGUCUCUCAGGGAGAAGGGCCUGGUGGUGCUCCCGGGGGAGGACGCGCCGCAGCAGCCGCCGCCGGACGUCGCGGGGAAGAUGUUCGAGCCGCCGCUCCGCUCGUGGGCCGCGCCGAGGCCUGCUCCAGCGGAGGACUCCGAUUCGGGCAGCGGGAAGAAGGAUCCGCCCCUGCUGCUAGGGCCGUGA